rnacentral:rRNA from 1 species
UCCGUAGGGUGCAAGCGUUAAUCGGAAUUACUGGGCGUAAAGCGUGCGCAGGCGGUUUUGUAAGUCUGACGUGAAAUCCCCGGGCUCAACCUGGGAAUUGCGUUGGAGACUGCAAGGCUAGAAUCUGGCAGAGGGGGGUAGAAUUCCACGUGUAGCAGUGAAAUGCGUAGAGAUGUGGAGGAACACCGAUGGCGAAGGCAGCCCCCUGGGUCAAGAUUGACGCUCAUGCACGAAAGCGUGGGGAGCAAACAGG